GAUAGAGGUGCAGGAACUGCGUGUAACAGAGAGGAGCUUGCCGAAAGCGAAGAUACUUUGUGAAUAGCAUUGUUGCCGAGAAACAGUGAGUGGCAGACAUUGUUUCGGUUGCAUAUCAUAGUGGUGUGCGGCUGUCAUCAUAAAAGCAUGAUGGAGAGCUAUCGAAU
rnacentral:ncRNA from 1 species